rnacentral:sRNA from 1 species
UUGACAGUUCUGGAGACUAGAGUUCUGUUUAAUCCAUGAAACAAGUGUGCUAUAGUCAGUGGCAGUGCAAGCUUCUCCACUUUACAUCUCUGUGUCAGUCUUAACCCAUAGGGACACCUCUUGGGGUGAGAGAGGAUUUCAGUCUCCAUGGCACAUUCAGUUAUUGGCCUCU